UGAGGAUGUAGCUCAGUGGUAGAGAACUUACCUAGCAUGCACAAGGUCCUGGGUUCAGUCCCCAGCACCACAA
rnacentral:tRNA from 1 species